GUGGGGAAUUUUGGACAAUGGGCGCAAGCCUGAUCCAGCAAUGCCGCGUGCAGGAAGAAGGCCUUCGGGUUGUAAACUGCUUUUGUACGGAACGAAACGGUCCGGGUUAAUACCCUGGGCUAAUGACGGUACCGUAAGAAUAAGCACCGGCUAACUACGUGCCAGCAGCCGCGGUAAUACGUAGGGUGCAAGCGUUAAUCGGAAUUACUGGGCGUAAAGCGUGCGCAGGCGGGUUUGUAAGACAGGCGUGAAAUCCCCGGGCUCAACCUGGGAAUUGCGCUUGUGACUGCAAGGCUGGAGUGCGGCAGAGGGGGAUGGAAUUCCGCGUGUAGCAGUGAAAUGCGUAGAUAUGCGGAGGAACACCGAUGGCGAAGGCAAUCCCCUGGGCCUGCACUGACGCUCAUGCACGAAAGCGUGGGGAGCAAACAGGAUUAGAUACCCUGGUAGUCC
rnacentral:rRNA from 1 species